GUGUUGUAUCAAAGAAGGGAAGAUUAGCAUUCCUCUUAACAAGGAUGGGAGAGGCCCGCUGCAGCUCACCGAACAUAUUUGGUUUCCUUUUGCUCCUUUUGUAAUCUCAAUGACCAAGCAUACUUACUCGUACUUUUUUUU